UACGAAGGGGGGCUAGCGUUGUUCGGAAUCACUGGGCGUAAAGGGCGCGUAGGCGGCUUUAUAAGUCGGGGGGUGAAAGCCUGUGGCUCAACCACAGAAUUGCCUUCGAUACUGUAGAGCUUGAGACCGGAAGAGGUAAGUUGGAACUGCGAGUGUAGAGGUGAAAUUCGUAGAUAUUCGCAAGAACACCAGUGGCGAAGGCGGCUUACUGGUCCGGUUCUGACGCUGAGGCGCGAAAGCGUGGGGGAGCAAACAGG
rnacentral:rRNA from 1 species